AGUGAACGCUGGCGGUAGGCCUAACACAUGCAAGUCGAACGGCAGCACAGUAAGAGCUUGCUCUUACGGGUGGCGAGUGGCGGACGGGUGAGGAAUACAUCGGAAUCUACUUUUUCGUGGGGGAUAACGUAGGGAAACUUACGCUAAUACCGCAUACGACCUACGGGUGAAAGCAGGGGAUCUUCGGACCUUGCGCGAUUGAAUGAGCCGAUGUCGGAUUAGCUAGUUGGCGGGGUAAAGGCCCACCAAGGCGACGAUCCGUAGCUGGUCUGAGAGGAUGAUCAGCCACACUGGAACUGAGACACGGUCCAGACUCCUACGGGAGGCAGCAGUGGGGAAUAUUGGACAAUGGGGGCAAGCCUGAUACAGCCAUACCGAGUGGGUGAAGAAGGCCUUCGGGUUGUAAAGCCCUUUUGUUGGGAAAGAAAAGCAGCAGGUUAAUACCCCGCUGUUCUGACGGUACCCAAAGAAUAAGCACCGGCUAACUUCGUG
rnacentral:rRNA from 1 species